GUUCCCGUAGCGGAGUGGUUACCGCGUGACUCUUAUAAUUCAAUGAUCUGUUGAUUUAUGGUGUAAUGUCAAGGUCCGGGGUUCGAAACCCCGCGGGAACA
rfam:Neonectria ditissima strain R09/05 contig_56, whole genome shotgun sequence.